UCAACAUGGAAAGAGGCAAGACAGCUGAGCUUCUAAAGCAUGUAUCAGAGCUCAAUGAAGCUAUUCUUCAUUCAAAGCUGGAUGCUAUUGAAGCAGAGAAAGAGAACUCUGCAGUUCUAUCUGAGAAAAAGGCAGAGUUACAGUUAGUGACAGCAACUUUGGCUCAAGCACAGGAACAACUAGAAGAGUUGAGGAAACAAACAGAGAUAGUGCAGUUUCUGGAAAAUGAGCUCCUGGCUAAAUCGGUAUUUAUUGAAACCCUGCAAUUUGAACUUAAAGAAGCCAAUGAACUUCACAGUUUAUCUGCAAAAGCUGCUUCUGAAGCUAUUAACAAUUUAAACCAGCUAAAAUCAGAUUUUGAAAGGCAGGAAAGAGAGAACUCAGAACAAGCAGUAUCCAUUAACUCACUGGAAAUGGAGCUUAAUCAGUUGAAAAUAAAGCUUAAGAAUGCAAAUGGUAGGCCGUUUAAAGUGUGAUGUUGAGAUGCUUACAGGGGAAUUAGAGAAGACAAAAAUUGAGGUGGAUGAGAUUAGAGGAAGGGAGAAUGAAGCUCAAGUUGAAAUAGCACUUCUGAAAUCUGAGCUUCACAAAGGGAGGUCAAGAAUUGCAGCAGC
rnacentral:lncRNA from 1 species